UACGUAGGCAGCAAGCGUUGUUCGGAGUUACUGGGCGUAAAGGGUGCGUAGGCGGCUUUUUAAGUUUGGUGUGAAAUCUCCCGGCUCAACUGGGAGGGUGCGCCGAAUACUGAGAAGCUAGAGUGUGGGAGAGGAAAGUGGAAUUCCUGGUGUAGCGGUGGAAUGCGUAGAGAUCGGGAAGAACAUCAGUGGCGAAGGCGGUCUGCUGGGCCGUUGCUGACGCUGAGGCGCGACAGCGUGGGGAGCAAACAGG
rnacentral:rRNA from 1 species